UUUAAAACUUUCACAGACUUUUUUUUUAUUAUUAUUAUUCAUUAUUUACAUUUUUAAUUAAUUAUUACUGUUGUUGUUCGUAUUCCUUUGUUAUAUUCUUAAAAAUGAUGAUAUGAAUAUCCUCUAAUUUUGUUUAAAUCUACAUGUGCAAAGAUAUUACACAGAACCUGUACUUUGUACUACAGAAACAAGAGGCCGGAAAAAUAAAAGAUCAAUGGAAAUAAACGUCACUGCUGGGGAACGUUUGGGGGGAGAGGAACUGAAAUGGAACACCACCUUUUUUUCGGAAGUAUUGAUCAGGGUUAUGAAAAGGCCUCUGUAUCCACAGAACAAAUCUGUAUGAUUACUGCCAUUGGCAAACGAACAUUCUGUAUGUGUUUAAUCUGACCAAAAGAAUGGGCUGUUGUGGAACCAUCUUUCCUUUCCAGAUUCACUCUUUACUUCCCCAGGGGAUUGACAU